GAAUUCGCCCUUAGAGUUUGAUCCUGGCUCAGGACGAACGCUGGCGGCGCGCCUAACACAUGCAAGUCGAACGAGCGAGAGAGAGCUUGCUUUCUCGAGCGAGUGGCGAACGGGUGAGUAACGCGUGAGGAACCUGCCUCAAAGAGGGGGACAACAGUUGGAAACGACUGCUAAUACCGCAUAAGCCCACGGUGCCGCAUGGCACAGAGGGAAAAGGAGCAAUCCGCUUUGAGAUGGCCUCGCGUCCGAUUAGCUAGUUGGUGAGGUAAUGGCCCACCAAGGCGACGAUCGGUAGCCGGACUGAGAGGUUGAACGGCCACAUUGGGACUGAGACACGGCCCAGACUCCUACGGGAGGCAGCAGUGGGGAAUAUUGCACAAUGGGGGAAACCCUGAUGCAGCGACGCCGCGUGGAGGAAGAAGGUCUUCGGAUUGUAAACUCCUGUUGUUGGGGAAGAUAAUGACGGUACCCAACAAGGAAGUGACGGCUAACUACGUGCCAGCAGCCGCGGUAAAACGUAGGUCACAAGCGUUGUCCGGAAUUACUGGGUGUAAAGGGAGCGCAGGCGGGAAGACAAGUUGGAAGUGAAAUCCAUGGGCUCAACCCAUGAACUGCUUUCAAAACUGUUUUUCUUGAGUAGUGCAGAGGUAGGCGGAAUUCCCGGUGCAGCGGUGGAAUGCGUAGAUAUCGGGAGGAACACCAGUGGCGAAGGCGGCCUACUGGGCACCAACUGACGCUGAGGCUCGAAAGUGUGGGUAGCAAACAGGAUUAGAUACCCUGGUAGUCCACACUGUAAACGAUGAUUACUAGGUGUUGGAGGAUUGACCCCUUCAGUGCCGCAGUUAACACAAUAAGUAAUCCACCUGGGGAGUACGACCGCAAGGUUGAAACUCAAAGGAAUUGACGGGGGCCCGCACAAGCAGUGGAGUAUGUGGUUUAAUUCGACGCAACGCGAAGAACCUUACCAAGUCUUGACAUCCCUUGACAGGCAUAGAAAUAUGUAAUCUCUUCGGAGCAAGGAGACAGGUGGUGCAUGGUUGUCGUCAGCUCGUGUCGUGAGAUGUUGGGUUAAGUCCCGCAACGAGCGCAACCCUUGCUAUUAGUUGCUACGCAAGAGCACUCUAAUAGGACUGCCGUUGACAAAACGGAGGAAGGUGGGGACGACGUCAAAUCAUCAUGCCCCUUAUGACCUGGGCUACACACGUACUACAAUGGAUGUUAACAGAGGGAAGCAAGACAGCGAUGUGGAGCAAACCCCUAAAAACAUUCUCAGUUCAGAUUGCAGGCUGCAACCCGCCUGCAUGAAGAUGGAAUUGCUAGUAAUCGCGGAUCAGCAUGCCGCGGUGAAUACGUUCCCGGGCCUUGCACACACCGCCCGUCA
rnacentral:rRNA from 1 species